AUUGAACGCUGGCGGCAUGCUUUACACAUGCAAGUCGAACGGCAGCACGGACUUCGGUCUGGUGGCGAGUGGCGAACGGGUGAGUAAUACAUCGGAACGUACCCAGUAAUGGGGGAUAACUAUCCGAAAGGAUAGCUAAUACCGCAUACGCCCUACGGGGGAAAGAGGGGGAUCGCAAGACCUCUUGUUAUUGGCGCGGCCGAUGGCUGAUUAGCUAGUUGGUGGGGUAAAGGCCUACCAAGGCAACGAUCAGUAGCGGGUCUUAGAGGACGAUCCGCCACACUGGAACUGAGACACGGUCCAGACUCCUACGGGAGGCAGCAGUGGGGAAUCUUGGACAAUGGGCGCAAGCCUGAUCCAGCAAUGCCGCGUGCGUGAAGAAGGCCUUCGGGUUGUAAAGCGCUUUUGUCAGGGAGCAAAUCCUUGUGGCUAAUACCCACCGGGGAUGAGAGUACCUGAAGAAUAAGGACCGGCUAACUACGUGCCAGCAGCCGCCGUAAAAC
rnacentral:rRNA from 1 species